CAAGAAAGUAACUAGCAUUGGUCCAUCUGGAGAGCAGAUGAAGAAGCUAGAGCAGAGCUACUUAUACAGCUGCUUGGAUAACAUCUGUUGAAUGAUGUAAGUAAAAUGUGUAGCUAUGGAGGAGUUUUGUUGGUUAUAUUCAUAUCUCUAUCCAGCGCUGAUUGAAAGCAGGAGGUGCAAGGGCAUGUGGAAGCAGCCUACCUGUUAUGGUCACAAGGAAGAAAACCUCCAAGUGGAAGUCCUUGGCCCAGAUGGUGCUGGUAUAGUGCAGUUUUCCUCCUCUCUUAUGAGAAAUUCAGUGCCUGAAUUUGGAUGAAGAGGCUUAUGAGGAACUCUGGGAUCUGUCUCCAGCUGCUUUCUUCCUAGCUGAGAAGUCUUCCCCAUCACCUGCUGGUUACGUUGUGGAUGACCCCUGUCAGCUGUGGGAGGUUUAGUGAAUAUACCUAA